GUCCGAUGAUUCUUUAAAACAUGUUUUUAAAUAACAUCAGUGUUGCAUAAAUCGGUGACUUUGUAGCAUGCAGAUCAAAGUUCGAAGUUCAAACUAACGUUGGCAGUUUUCACGUCAUGUAACAUAUGAACUAUUCGCUAUGUGCAAUAUGAUAAAUAUUCAACCACCAGAGAUUUUAGAAACGAAAUCAACGUUUUCUCGAUUACGUAUCUCCUUCGUUCAUAAAUUAUAUGCAUCCUCGUGCGACGUGUAUUUUAAUGAAUUAAAAUAAAACAAAAAUCGUUAUUUUUAAAGCACGAUGUUAAAAAGUGAACCCCUCUUAUCGAUCUAUCCAUUGUUCUAUAAUUGGCGAGCCAUCCUUUUUGUUGUUUGGUCCGUGGACAGAACGCGCGAGAAAACCGUGAACUAAAAAAUCGUUCGAUGGUUUACGUGUUUUUAAAAAAAGAUCAAAUAAAAACAACGAUAGUAGAAACAUGUAUAAUUGUGUAUAUUCUUCGUACGUUAAUUAUAAAUAGGGAAAAAAUAGUAAACAGAGUGAUUUCGAUGAAACAUAAUAUAAUUACUUCAAAUUAGAAAAUUAAAAAGUUGCGACAAAAUAAAAUAUAAUAAUUUGAUUUUCAAAAAUGAAACGUAAAGGGUUGAAGGAUUUAGUGUGGAUCAAGACUGAUAGUCUUCUCUUCUUUGACAUGAUUCACGAGCCACAUCUCCAAUAACUAUGCUACUCCAAUUUCGAUAAUAUGCACAUCGAUGACAUUUAGUAAAUAAACAUUUUUAAAACUGACAUUCAAUAAAUUCAAGAUGACAUUUAAUAAACAAACAUGGAUGGAAAUAAACGCUUCAAAAAAUCAGUAAUAUUCACACCCACGUAAAAAUUUUGCACGUAUUGAAAAACGAAGAAGAAAUAAUACACACAUUCUUGCAUAUUUCAUUUUCUGGAAAUAAGGCUGUUCUAAUCUUACAUAAAUUAUAUUAACUCGGACAACCGCAACAGUAUUACGUGUAAGUUUGACUACUAUUGCAAUUCAGAUAACCCUAAUCGCACUACUCUAAUACCCGUUGCAUAAUCAAGAAAUCUAGUUCAAAUCUCGGUUCGGUUUGGUUGGUAUGAAGAUAAAAAAAUAUAGUUUAAUGUCCAGCUGGCAUGUACGAUCGAAGCACUGCGGGAAAAUCGAGAUACAGGCUCCUCGAGUACUCACCCUUCGAACGAUUACGAACCAGGGGUUGGUCUGUCAAGGACACGUCGCGAUCCAAGCGCUACCGUGAUCCUGCGUGCACUGCGACUACUAGAGUACUCGCUGGGCCGGUUUCAAGUUUCUUCCGUGUCUAUGCACAAGCUUGAGAGCGUGAAAGUUGCGCGACCCGCCAUGGCAUACUAUCGCCUGGCCAGAAUGGACGAGUUGUCGCCGACGACAUCGCUUCCUGGACGAGACUGGUAUCGCCUUGAGUCAUCGGGCUAACUUGCGGUUUCCUGUUAAAGCCCCUAGACUCGUUCGUGGUUCCUUGAACUGGGUCAAUCGGGGACUAGAGCACGGAGAUCAAGACGAAGGAAUGAGAAAUAUGGUGAAACGUGGACAUCCUUCUUCCAAAAGUAUCGUCAAACUUGGAUAAGUGAGAAACCUCUAUUACUGGAAUUAAUUGACAAGUAGCAGUAAUCUUGUAUCAAGGAACUUCUGCUGGACUAUCAAACCAUUUUAACAAGACUGAUUUUAGUGGAUUGCGGAUGUCGAAUGAUUAAAUAGUAAACGAGUAGACGAGUAGAUGAAUAGGCGAGUAGACUUUCAAGUGAGUAGACUUUUGGAUUCCUAGUCGAGCAAGCUUUUAUACUUUUAUUAGACGAGUAGAUGAAUCGACGAGUAGACUGUUAGAAUCUUAAAUGAAUAGCAAAUUUAUAUUUUUAUAUAAUAUACACAGAUGAAGAAUAGAAUGUUAAUAAAUAGAAUGUUAGUAAAUGUUAGUUACAUGUGUAUUGGAAAACUGAAAUAAAAUGGUAAAAUUCUCUUGA